AAAUCAACCCUGGCAGGGUGAAUUUCGUACAUAUGUAAAUUUAUAUAAUAUAUAUUUGGACUUAUAACUUGUAAUAAAUGUGCAAAAUGGACACGUUUAAGGAGCUACAUGUCUUGCUAAACUUACAAAGUUUUUACUUGCGGAAAUAGUUCGGAUUGUAGACUACUGGUAGCACCGUUCCCGGGAUUAGCUUUCUCGCAUGAUUUUAAUAUAGGUAGGAUAGAAGACAACAAUUGCAGGAAAGGCAGGCUAUUCAUACUUGACGCAGAAACGCUACAAAACUCAAUCGAUAAUGGACAAAGAACUAAACCGCCUACUCCAAUUUGCGAACAGCUUUAUUCUUCAUGUGAAAGACAAAAUAAAGAGUGUAGCAGUGCAGCUUGCUGGUAUGUAGAGUAUCUAGCAACACUGGGUGUAACAUCGUCAAAGUGAGUCUUGCCGAAAUUAUUAAUUAUUUAAUUUUAUUAUUUUAAAUUAAUUUUUUCUUCUACUGAAGCAAUUUCAUUAAUUCCUUUGAGUAAGAUUUUGUUAUAAAAUAUGUUAUGUAUUCCAAAUUCCAAAAAAUGUAAAUCAUUUCCAAGCAGAUUUUUAAUAAAACUUCGAUCAGCAGCGGCGUAAUCAACUGUAAUUACCUACAAACGAUGUACACGAAACGUCGAACCACAAAUAAACCAUUCAAAAAGUCAAAUUAAAUCUCAGGUGCCUUAACCAAAAUCUCAUUAAAAAGCCAUUUGCGAAGGUGUUCUUCACAUAGUUUUUAAAUGAAAUUUAAAAUAUUGCCGAGUUGUAAUAUUAUAAGACUUAUUAAAGAAAACGAUGAAAAUAAAUCACAAAAGAAAU